rnacentral:rRNA from 1 species
UUCCUCACAAAACGCUGGCGGCGUGCUUAACACAUGCAAGUCGAACGAUGGAACCACUUCGGUGGGGAUUAGUGGCGAACGGGUGAGUAACACUUGGGCAAUCUGCCCUGCACUCUGGGACAAGCCCUGGAAGACGGGGUCUAAUACCGGAUAUUGACCUUCACGGGCAUCUGUGAGGUUCGAAAGCUCCGGCGGUGCAGGAUGAGCCCGCGGCCUAUCAACUUGUUGGUGAGGUAAUGGCUCACCAAGGCAACGACGGGUACCCGGCCUGAGAGGGCGACCGGCCACACUGGGACUGAGACACGGCCCAAACUCCUACGGGAGGCAGCAGUGGGGAAUAUUGCACAAUGGGCGAAAGCCUGAUGCAGCGACGCCGCGUGAGGGAUGACGGCCUUCGGGGUUGUAAACCUCUUUCAGCAGGGAAGAAGCGAAAGUGACGGUACCUAGCAGAAGAAGCGCCGGCUAACUACGUGCCACCAGCCGCGGUAAUAC